UACGAAGGGUGCAAACGUUGCUCGGAAUCAUUGGGCGUAAAGCGCACGUAGGCGGCUUCGCAAGUCGGAUGUGAAAUCCCUCGGCUCAACCGAGGACGUGCAUACGAAACUGCGGAGCUUGAGUGCUGAAGAGGAUCGCGGAAUUCCCGGUGUAGAGGUGAAAUCCGUAGAUAUCGGGAGGAACACCAGUGGCGAAGGCGGCGAUCUGGGCAGACACUGACGCUGAGGUGCGAAAGCCAGGGGAGCAAACGGG
rnacentral:rRNA from 1 species